rnacentral:lncRNA from 1 species
GUGGAAUUGUGAAAUGGACUUAUGAAUAUGAGAAGCUAAAGGAGGAAAUUGCAGGUUCAUCUCCUGAUUCAUACUUGGACUUUGCUGUAAAGCUCAUAAAAGAUAUUGAUUCUCAUCUUGUCAAGGAAUAGCAACAAAGAUGAACAAGGAUGAAGUGUGUUUGGCUUGAGUGUUAUUGCAUAUUAAAUAAACUUUUUGGUGAUGAAUGUGUUUUAUAUAUGGUACUAGACUCUGUUUAUUACAUGUGUUUAUGAUAUUUAAUUAAUUAAUAAUUUGUCUAAAUUUGCGGGAGAAUAUAAUUAGAAUUAUUUUACAGUCAUUAAAAUAAAUUAAACAACAGUAACUAAACAAGUUGUAUAAAUUUGUCAAAAAAAAAAAAAAAAAAGUUGUAUAAAUUGAAAUGAAAAAUUUUGUUUUGUGAUAGCAGGGUAAUGAGACCCUAGAUGUGAUUUAGAUGUGAGCUCGACAAAGGUUAAUCUGGUCCUAUGUAUCUUUAAUGAUCUUAGAGAAUUAGAGCUACCUUUUUUUGUGUAUAUUUAUCUCUUCAAAAAAAGGAUACUAAUGGUAGGAGCCACAACCCUUUUUUUUUUUUUGUGUGUCUCUUUCUAAAUGAUAAUCUCCAUUUGUUUUUAUAAAUGAAUAUGUAGACAUGGCAACAAUACCCGUUCCAUGGGUCCCACCCAGUGGCGGAUCUUAAUAGAGACCCAUGGGUGCCAUGGCAUCCCCUGGGUUUUCAAUAUAUACCAUAUUAGGCAUAUUAUUUUAGUAAGUUUACAGUUGGCGCAGUGGUAAGCUAGUCUUACAGUCCCCCAGUGGUCGCGAGUUCGACACUCUUGCCAACCCUUUUUUACAUUUUUCUCUCGUAUUUACAUUUUUUAUUAAAAAAAACUGCUAGCAAGGAUUCGAACCCGCACCCACUUGGUAAUUUCAAACAAUUUAAACCACUACUGCAGGUGAUUAUUUUUAUCUAUUUCUUGAAACGGAUUUACAUAUAUUUCAUGGUAGUUUGGCACCCCCAACAAAUUUACUCAAGAUCCGCCACUGGUCCCACCCAGACCCAUUUCAAUUUGACGGGUUUUUUCCGCUUUGACUGGGUUUGGGUAUGAGUUUAAGUUUUUCCCGAUUUCAAAACACGGGUAUGGGACGGGUAACGGGGUUAUAGAUAUCCACCCCGAACCCAUACUCAUACCCGUCUCAAAUGUAAAAAAAAUAUUUUUUUACCCCUUUUUAUAUAAAUAGAAACACAACCCUAGAUCAUGUUAUGUUAUUUGGUUUAAUAAUCCACAUGUUACAAAAAUUGCCUUUAAUUUUUAAAGGAACAACCAAAUCAUUAUAAUAAGGAAAUGUUAAAGGGAACAUAAUGCUUUACAAAAUUGUCAUUGGGGUUGAAAAAAAAGCUUUUUCUUAUUAAAAAAUAAUUCACUGCGGGUACGGGGUGGGGAUGGGAACCCUGAACCCGUCGGAGACGGGUAUGGGAUCCCCGAACCCGUCGGAGACGGGUAUGGGGUUCGAUUUCUCAUCCCCGUUGAAUAUGGGUAAGGUAACGGUAAGUAUAUAGAAAUAGGGUAUGGGGAUAGGGAAGGUAAAACUCGUCCCCACCCCGCCUCAUUACCAUGCUUAUGAAUAUGACCCUUACUCAUUAUUUUGAUGACAAAAGUGCUACUACGAGAUAGUAUAUCAGAAUUUAAUAUCUAAUAAAUUGAAAUCGAUAGCAUCUAGAUUGUUCUUUCCUUGAGAUGGCUCCGAGAGAACAUCUUAGUUUGAAGCUUCCUCUAAUGUCGGUCACGCGAUACAUUCUAGCCAUCUGCCUGGUUAAAGUAUCCAAGCAUAAUUCCAUUAGUUUGGAGAUUCCUCUAAUGUCGACCUCGCGAUAUAAAAAAAUUUAAGAAGCAUAAGAGAUUCGAGAGUGACCCUUGAAAGUUUAGUUUUUUCCUAAUUUUAUUUCUGGAAUAUUUUUCGUAAAAUAAUUUAGGGACUUUAUUAUUGUCUCUUUGACGCACAACUGAAACUAUAACUAACCCAUAGUAGAUAAUGUCAUUUUAAUUAUACUUUUAUAACCCGUAGUAAAUAAUGUCAUUUUAAUUAUAUUUUCAUAUUGUCCCUCAAAAAAUUAUAUUUUUAUAUUGAGUUAAUUUUUUUUAAUAAAUUACUUAUGUUUUUAUUUAUAUUAGUCUUAAAUUGAUCGAUUUUAGUGUUUAAGUAAUUUUUUUUAGGAAUAUUGUUUGAAUCACUAUUAGGCGUAACUAACCAUAACAAGUUAAAUAAUUCAUCUCACUAUGACUAAUUAACCAAAUUUUACUUGACCAAUUUUUAUUUUUUUUACCAAAUUUUAUAUGAUUAAUUGAUAAGGAGUUAUUCAUUAUCUUUUUUUAGUCUGUAUAUGAAUAACCAGCUUGUUGGUUUUUUUUUUUCUUCUUUCUAAUUGAUUAUCUUAGUGAGAGUAAGACUAACUGAUUAGAAGGAAAAAUUAAUUUUCAUCAAUUGUAAUAAUGAUUACCAAUAGUAUUAGAACAAAUAACUAUUAUCAAUAGAAGUUUUGUGCAGUGGGGGUAGCAAACUCGUUCUCUCGUGAGAAUGUUUUAAUAGAUUGGAGGCCUCCUAUGGAGGGUUGGAUUAAGUUGAAUACAAAUGACUCUUAAAAUGAUAAUGGGGAAGCAAGGUGUGGUGUUGUGAUUUGAGGGAGUGAUGGUGAAUGGUUAGGUGGCUUUGCAAACAAUAUUGGUAUGUGUAUUGUGUAUGCGGCAGAGCUUUGGGGUGUGGUUGAAGGUGGUUUAUGCGAAAUAUCAUAGAUUAAUACUUAUAUUUUGAAUUUGUUUUUAGUCUAUAAUAUUUCAGUUUAAUGGCUAUAAUUUGAUUUUGUAACUUUAAACGACUGAGUUUGAAUUCCAUCUGAUUAAUUGUUAUAUGGUCAUUAAUGUCACUACUAUUAAUAAAAUUUGAUUUUUUUUUUUUUUGUGAAAAGGCAUAUUAAAAAGAAAGUAUUAGUUAAUAUCAACACACGUGAAAUUAUAUGUUUUAAUGUCUCAAAAAGAAUUGAUCAUAAAACUUUUGAGAAAGAAACACACUCUAUAGUCUCCAAAAAACAAUUAUAAAUUGCUUACCAACUACUUUGUAUUUUGUGUAUGUUUGAAACCAAAAUAGAAUUGACGAAAUCACGGUGCCUUCAUAAUUUUUUCUUAAACUAGGAUUAUGAUAAAUUUACUAUCAAUUUAAAUCAGGGGCGGAUCCAUGUUGGGGCAAUGUGGAGCUAUAGCUCCACAAGUCCACAUGCUUUUUCCUUAUUUUAUUUUUUAUAAUAGAUGAAACGCAGCAGUAGAAUAUAGAAUUUUUACAGUAUGUUUCAUGCUUGAGAUCCACAAAGUUAUUUGCAACUUUUGAUGUGAACAAUUAAUAAGGGUGACUGAGUUUUAUCCAAAUAAUUUUAUAGAUGUGUCGAAAGUGGCGUUACGCACUCAACUUAAUAAUUAUGUUACAUAUGUUCGAUCUGACCUAAAAUUUGCUAAGUUGAAAGGACUUUCAGAUCUUUGUGGAAACAAAUAAGUGCAACACAUUUACUAUAGUUUAUAAACUUUUGAAGUUGGUUUUGCUCUUGCCGGUAGCAACUGCAAGUGUUAACGUGUUUUUUCAGAUAUGAAAGUGUUGAAGAGUAACCUAUGUAACAAAAUAGGUGAUCAGUGGCUAAAUGACCGUCUUGUAACUUAUAUAUAGAAAGAUAUGUUCUUUUAACAAUUAGCAACGAUUUCAUUUUAACUCAUUUUCAACAAAUGGAUAUAUAGAAGGCGAUGAUGUCAUUUUAGCACAUUUUCAACAAAUAGAUAUAAGACGAUUUUCAUUGUAAUGUAUUGUAUCAAACAAUAUUAUUUCUUAUUUUUAAUAUAGUUUGCAUUUUUUUUUAUAAGGAAAUAUAGUUUGCAUUAUUGUUUCUUUAAAAUUUUAGCUUCGCGUGUACCUAAAAUCUGGAUCUGCCCUGAUUCAAAUAUACAUUUUGUUUUUCUGAAACCCAAUAUCGUUUUUGAUUUGGUAUGUUCUGAAACCCAAUAACUUGCAGACCAUUCCUUCAAUUAUUUUAAUAAUAACUUUUUUAAUUUUAAUCCUUUGGAUAUAUUUCUAAAACAAUAUCCUAUCCUAUCCUAUUAUAUCAAUUGCGAAAGAGAUGUUAUUGCUCUUAAGUGCACUUUGAACGCAACAUAGGUCAUUCAUUGGAGUGUGAUUGCAAGAAGGAAGCUUGAGCAAGGAAACCCCAGGUUAAAAUACCAUACACCAAGCUUUGACAUUUAAAGCGCUUAGAUUAUUUUAUUUUUAUUUUAAUUUUAGGUUAUAGAGCACGUUUCGUCUCUUUUUAUAAGCACAAGUUUCACUAAUAUUAAAGAAAGUGGGUAAUGUAAAUAAUGUGUAUAUUUUAUGUAUAAAUAUUAUAAAAUUGUCUUUUGUCAAUAAAUGUAUUUAUAAUUGAUUUUUUAUAUUCGAAAGUAAAGUAGUAAUAUUAAUUAGGGUUAUCUCUUAAAAACAAAAUUGGGGUAUGUUUGAAGAAGAAAAAAAAACAAUGCAUCUAAUAACUUGAAAGAUGAUGACUUAUAUUAAAGGAUUUUUUUUUUUUUUAAAAAAAAAAAAGCUUAUAAUUAGGGACGAAUAGAGUGUUAGAGAAGAGAGAGAAAUAAUUCGCAGUAUUUUUCAUUUGGUACAAAUGAAAUAUUUUUUAUUUGAGAAAUUAUAUUAGUAUAACCAUUUUAAAAUAACUUUCUCUUCUUUCUUAUUUUGGAACAAAAACAAUAGGGAGAAUAUGAGAGAGUAAAAAUACAAUAAGAAUAUGCAAAAAAGAAAAAGUCCAUUUAAUUGUUUUAAAAUAAAUGUACAAAUAUCAUUUAUCUUUUUGUUAUAGUGUAUCUAUUUUGCAAUUAAAAGACAUUGUAUUCGAAACAUGGUAGUGUUAAUAAACGGUAACUCAAUGGGGAUAAUUUUGAAUAACAUUAUAUCUCUCUCUUCUACUUUUUAAACUCUAGCCUUCACAACUUCUCUUCUUGAUGUAUCAAAGUUUUUGACUCAAAAUCACUCAUCCAAUUUUUAUUUUUUUUUUCAUUUUUGGUUAAAUAAGCGAGUUUAACAUAUUUUCAAUCUUAUUUUAUUUGUUUUUGUGAUUUCGUCAUUUUUACACGAUUUUGUUUGUUUUGACUUCCCGUCUUUGUGCGGUGUGUUUUUUAUUUCUUGUCUUAGUGUAAUGUUUAUUUGAUUUUGGUUGAAAGAUUAACUUUGAGCAAGUGGAUAUUUGAUUGAUGAAGAUUUGAUUAGCUUUUAUGCUUUUAAUAUAGAUAUUGUGAGUUUGUUCACAAUUUUAUUCUUUUUGUUUUUAGCGAUUUUGAAUUAAUAUUAUAUUGAUGUACUCCAUCAAUUCGAAUGAAUGAAUAUCGAUUAUUUUUGUUUAAAAAAAUAGAUAGUAACUCUAUGUCUCUAUCUCGCAAACCACGAUAGACAUUGUCCAAUCAAUAUUAUGUAAGCAAAUCUUUGGUCCAUCAUCAUUUUCAUAUAUCUAUUAGCAAUCUAAAAAUGUCAACUUAUAUAUACAGCUGUUUUAAUUGUGAUGUCCAAUAAUAGAUUAAAUUUUUAUAAAUUCCAAUGAAUUAUUUGUUUGAUUUCAAUCAAUCAUUUUCAUAUUUCUCAAUCUGGAACUUACUUGUGGAUGGAGAUUUUGAACUAUUAAUUUUAUAUUCAAAUUAAUCAUCCCAAGUCCCAACUAACUUCUAUUUAAGGGAAUGCAUUCCCCCUUAUGAAGAACCUAAACCUAUAUUCUUUUAUAUAUCUCUAAACAUUAUUAAAGAGAAGAGACAUGGCUUUAAGUGGGAAAGUGGAGGCUGAAGUAGAGAUUCAAGCACCUGGUGCUAAGUUCUAUAAUAUUUUCAGAAAGCAACUAGAACAUCUUCCUAAUAUCUCCAAUGAAAUACAUGAAGCUAGAGUGCAUGAAGGUGACUGGGAAAAUAUUGGUUCUAUCAAGCACUGGGAAUUUACAGUAGGUAAUUAAGGCCGUUAUGUUUCAAAGUUUUACUAUUUUAUUAUUGCUCAUGAAAGGUAGAAUACAUCAAUGAGCGCACAAAAAAGAUUAUAUUGAAAAGUAGGGAAAUGCUAACUUGUGUCAUCAAGACAUAAGUUAAUGAGUCAAAAAUGGAAAUAAUUUAUUGUAAUUAAUGAAUGCAUUUGAAAUUAAUUUUUUUACUUUUGAUUAAUUGAAUGUACAAAAUUCAAGAGCACAAGUUUGCAUCACCCUAAAUUUUUAGUAUUAAUGACCCUUCCAACACUCUUUUGCUGAUGUUAAUAAACUUUACAUGAUUUGAUUAUCAGCAACAACUUUAGCUUGUAUUAUCAAAAUUGUCAUUUAUAAACACUUGUUCAACAAUGUUGCACAUAAAAAACUUGCUGUAUUAAAAUAAAAGAUUAAAAGAAUUAUUAAGAAAAUAAAAUAUAUACUCUUUUUUUCUUUUUCAAGUUUCAUUUUUAAAUAAUUUUUUUCAUUUGCUUAUAAAAAAAACAAUGUAUUUCAAAAAUAACAUCAUUAAAUUAUUUUUUUACAUUGGUCUCUAAUUUCUAUUUAUUUAUUUUCCCUAAUAUCAUGGAACUCUGAUUUUAAAUACUGGUGAAACCCUACAGAAGGAAGAAAACAAAGUGCUAAAGCAAAAAUUGAGACUAUAGAUGAUGACAAUAAGAUAAUCAUAUAUAGCAUUUUUGAUGGAGAAGUGAGUGAAAAUUACAAGAGUUUAAAGGCAAUAUUACAAGUGAUCCAUAAAGAACAUGGUGGUGGGAUUGUUAAAUGGGCAUACGAAUAUGAGAAGCUAAAAGAGGAAAUUACAGGUGGAUCUCCUGAUUCAUACUUGGACCUUGCUGUAAAGGUCACAAAAGAUAUUGAUUCUCAUCUUGCCAAGGAAUAGCAACAAAGAUGAACAAGGAUGAAGUGUGUUUGUCUUGAGUGUUAUUGCAUUUUAAAUAAACUUUUUGUGAUGAAUGUGUUUAAUACAGUAUUGGUAUACUUCUAAUUUUGGGAUUGAGAUUCCUUGCUGCCAAGGGGUCCCACAUUCAUACAUUGUGAAGAUCGAUAGUUUUUCGAUGAAGAUCAGAUAGUCCAUAAAAUGCAGUUCUUAUGGUUUAUUUUAUGAUUAAGACAUCAAAUUUGAAUCUUGAUUGUUCGAUCCAGAUCAAACAACCACCGAUGUUCCAAUUGUGUGAAUACGGAGAAAUAUUCAUAUCGUGGUAAUUGGAGACAGAAAAGGAGUUUACUCUUAUGUUGUUUUAUGUUUUUUCAGUCACAAACAUGCUUGUUUCUUUCAACAAAGUCACUCAUUCUAGUUUGUGAUGGAAUAGAGUCUUGCUGAUUUGAUAUAUUGUCAUUUGAUGUGUAUAAAUGGCUACUGUGUGCUUGUAAAAUGUUUGAUUUAAAUAAAAGAUUGCUCUAGCUCUUAUGCAAACUCCUUAAUACACUACUAUAUUGGCUAACAUAUAAAUGAGACUCAUUAAAUUAUAUGUUAGAAAUUAUGUGCUAGAAUGCAUUUUGUCUUCGAGAUCUAUGUAUUCAUAAAACAUCUUUCUGAAUGAAAUUAUUUAAUGAUGUAGGGG